UCGAGAAUCAUUCACAAUGCGCGAAAGCGCGAUGAUGCGACGCCGCGUGCAGGAUGAAGGCCUUCGGGUUGUAAACUGCUGUCAUGAGGGAACAACAAUGGGGUGCUAAUACCACCCCGGCGAGAUGGUACCUCAAGAGGAAGUCACGGCUAACUCUGUGCCAGCAGCCGCGGUAAUACAGAGGUGGCGAACGUUGUCCGGAUUCACUGGGCGUAAAGGGUGCGUAGGCGGUCAUGUGUGUCGGUUGUGAAAACCCAGCGUCUACCGUUGGGACUGCAUCCGAAACUACAUGACUAGAGUACAGGAGAGGGGAGCGGAAUUCUCGGUGUAGCGGUGAAAUGCGUGGAUAUCGAGAAGAACGCCGGUGGCGAAGGCGGCUCCCUGGACUGAUACUGACGCUGAGGCACGAAAGCUGGGGGAGCGAACA
rnacentral:rRNA from 1 species